rnacentral:rRNA from 1 species
UACGAAGGGGGCUAGCGUUGCUCGGAAUCACUGGGCGUAAAGCGCACGUAGGCGGACUCUUAAGUCGGUGGUGAAAUCCUGGAGCUCAACUCCAGAACUGCCUUCGAUACUGAGAGUCUCGAGUCCGGGAGAGGUGAGUGGAACUGCGAGUGUAGAGGUGAAAUUCGUAGAUAUUCGCAAGAACACCAGUGGCGAAGGCGGCUCACUGGCCCGGUACUGACGCUGAGGUGCGAAAGCGUGGGGAGCAAACAGA